AUUCGGCGCUAGUGGGUCCACAGGAGCUGCCCAUUCCGGAGCAUUCUCAUCAGCCUGCCGAGGCAGAGGUGUCUUCUCAUGAGACUACCGAGGCGCAUGAGACUACCUCAUAUUCACCAUCACACCCAUCUCAGGAGGCUACAGACCCAUCUCGGGAGCCUUCUCAGGCGCCCGUUGACACACAGGUUCAUCCUUCGGAGCCUGCGGUGGCGACUCCCGACGAGGAAGAGGUCCAGUUUCCAGACCCAGCUCAGCCUGAGGUUCUGAGCGUGCCAGCGGGACAAGAUCCCAAGAAGAAGCACGUUCUAGUUAAGGGCGCAAGGGCUAGGGGAAGAGGAGAUGAUCAUGACUUGAAGCGCCCGGUUAUUAAGAGGAAAAAGGGCGACGGAGACGAUGGCGAGGGCGGUGGGGAUGGU